rnacentral:rRNA from 1 species
CCUACGGGUGGCAGCAGUGAGGAAUAUUGGUCAAUGGGCUUACGCCUGAACCAGCCAAGUCGCGUGAGGGAAGACUGCCCUAUGGGUUGUAAACCUCUUUUGUCAGGGAGCAACGCCGGCUACGUGUAGCCGGACUGAGAGUACCUGAAGAAAAAGCAUCGGCUAACUCCGUGCCAGCAGCCGCGGUAAUACGGAGGAUGCGAGCGUUAUCCGGAAUUAUUGGGUUUAAAGGGUGCGUAGGCGGAAUGCCAAGUCAGCGGUAAAAUCGCGGGGCGAAAGCUCGCUCCGCCGUUGAAACUGGCGUUGUGGAGUGGGCGAGAAGUAGGGGGAAUGCGAGGUGUAGGGGUGAAAUGCAUAGAUAUCACGCAGAACUGCGAUGGCGAAGG